AUACGGAGGAUGCGAGCGUUAUCCGGAUUUAUUGGGUUUAAAGGGAGCGUAGGCGGGAGCUUAAGUCAGCGGUUAAAUGGUGCGGCUCAACCGUGCCCUGCCGUUGAAACUGGGUUUCUUGAGAGUGCAAGAGGCGGAUGGAAUUCAUGGUGUAGCGGUGAAAUGCUUAGAUAUCAUGAAGAACUCCGAUUGCGAAGGCAGGCCGCUGGGGCACUGCUGACGCUGAGUCUCGAAGGGUCGGGAAUCAAACAGGAUUAGAUUCCCUGGUAGUCCGCACAGUAAACGAUGGACACCCGCGGUUUGGCCUGUAUGGCUGAGCCGCCAAGCGAAAGCGUUAAGUGUCCCCCCUGGGGAGUACGCCGGCAACGGUGAAACUCAAAUGAAUUGGCGGGG
rnacentral:rRNA from 1 species